UUAGGAAUCUUGCGCAAUGGGCGAAAGCCUGACGCAGCAACGCCGCGUGGGGGACGAAGGCUCUCGGGUUGUAAACCCCUUUCAGUGGGGACGAAUCAAGACGGUACCCACAGAAGAAGCCCCGGCCAACUACGUGCCAGCAGCCGCGGUAACACGUAGGGGGCAAGCGUUGUCCGGAUUUAUUGGGCGUAAAGAGCUCGUAGGCGGUUCGCUAAGUCGGGUGUGAAACCUCCAGGCUCAACCUGGAGACGCCACCCGAUACUGGUGUGACUCGAGUCCGGUAGGGGAGCGUGGAAUUCCUGGUGUAGCGGUGAAAUGCGCAGAUAUCAGGAGGAACACCAGCGGCGAAGGCGGCGCUCUGGGCCGGAACUGACGCUGAGGAGCGAAAGCGUGGGUAGCAAACAGGAUUAGAUACCCUGGUAGUCCACGCCGUAAACGUUGGGCACUAGGUGUGGGGUCUUAUCAACGGAUUCCGUGCCGUAGCUAACGCAUUAAGUGCCCCGCCUGGGGAGUACGGCCGCAAGGCUAA
rnacentral:rRNA from 1 species